ensembl:snoRNA small nucleolar RNA U6-53/MBII-28
CUCCAGUGAUGAGUCUGCCAUGCUAAUACUGAUACACCAGGUAGACUGUGUCUGUUUGGGUGUAAGUGUGUUGAACGUUUCUCACACUGGUGCAGUGUGCUCUGAGGAGA